GGGUUCCUAACUCAAUGGUAGAGUACUCGGCUUUUAA
rnacentral:tRNA from 1 species